GGCGGUGCUCACAGCCCUCCGCCUCUGGGAGUGGCCCAUUUCUACUAAGGAGGCAAGAGGUGGCCAGGAGUCUGUCAGCGAGUUCUGCAUGUCCUGGUGACCCUCCACCUGUUUCACAGUGUCACAGGGGAACUCGAGCCUAUCCCAGCUAUCUUAGGGCGAGAAGCAGGGUACACCCUCCACAGGUCACCAGUCUGUUGCAGAGCUAACACAUAGACACAGAAAACCAUUCGCACCUGUGGGCGAUUUAGACUUUUCAACUAACCUCUUGCCACUAACUGCAGGUCGUUGGACUGUGGCAGGAAGCCGGAGUACAAGGAAAGAACCCACGCAAAAACAGGAAGAACAUGCAAACUCCACACAGAACCACGGUAGAGCUAAACUCAAGACCUUCUUCCUGUGCGGUAACGGUGCUAACCACUGUGCCGCCCGCAUAAGAGGAGAGCCACUGAGGGAACGCCUUCCGCCCUUCCGACGCCUCCACCGUGACUCCACUUCUGAGAGGAAUUGCCUACAGAUCAAGCAUGGAGUGUGCCUGAAUGGACAUACAGAACUCCAAGGUUCGGCCCGGUGUUGAGGGUUUUCCCAAAGGUGAGGGCCCGGCGGGCGGUGCCUCACAGCCCUCCGCCUCUGGGAGUGGCCCAUUUCUACUAAGGAGGCAAGAGGUGGCCAGGAGUCUGUCAGCGAGUUCUGCAUGUCCUGGUGACCCUCCACCUGUUUCACAGUGUCACAGGGGAACUCGAGCCUAUCCCAGCUAUCUUAGGGCGAGAAGCAGGGUACACCCUCCACAGGUCGUUGGACUGUGGCAGGAAGCCGGAGUACAAGGAAAGAACCCACGCAAAAACAGGAAGAACAUGCAAACUCCACACAGAACCACGGUAGAGCUGAACUCAAGACCUUCUUCCUGUGCGGUAACGGUGCUAACCACUGUGCCGCCCGCAUAAGAGGAGAGCCACUGAGGGAACGCCUUCCGCCCUUCCGACGCCUCCACCGUGACUCCACUUCUGAGAGGAAUUGCCUACAGAUCAAGCAUGGAGUGUGCCUGAAUGGACAUACAGAACUCCAAGGUUCGGCCCGGUGUUGAGGGUUUUCCCAAAGGUGAGGGCCCGGCGGGCGGUGCCUCACAGCCCUCCGCCUCUGGGAGUGGCCCAUUUCUACUAAGGAGGCAAGAGGUGGCCAGGAGUCUGUCAGCGAGUUCUGCAUGUCCUGGUGACCCUCCACCUGUUUCACAGGUCGUUGGACUGUGGCAGGGAGCCGGAGUACAAGGAGAGAACCCACGCAAAACCGGGGAGAACAUGCCAACUCCACACAGAACGAUGGUAGAGCUGAACUCAGGACCUUCUUCCGGUUGGGUAACGGUGCUAACCAGUGUGCUGCCCUGGUAAGAGGAGAGCCACUGAGGGAACGCCUUCCGCCCUCCGACGCCUCCACCGUGACCUCCACUUCUGAGAGGAAUUGCCUACAGAUCAAGUAUGGAGUGUGCCUGAAUGGACAUACAGAACUCCAAGGUUCGGCCCUGCGUUGAGGGUUUUCCCAAAGGAGAGGGCCCGGCGGGCGGUGCCUCACGGCCCUCCGCCUGUGGGAGUGGCCCUUUCUACUAAGGAGGCAAGAGGUGGCCAGGAGUCUGUCAGCGAGUUCUGCAUGUCCUGGUGACCCUCCACCUGUUUCACAGUGUCACAGGGGAACUCGAGCCUAUCCCAGCUAUCUUAGGGCGAGAAGCAGGGUACACCCUCCACAGGUCACCAGUCUGUUGCAGAGCUAACACAUAGACACAGAAAACCAUUCGCACCUGUGGGCGAUUUAGACUUUUCAACUAACCUCUUGCCACUAACUGCAGGUCGUUGGACUGUGGCAGGAAGCCGGAGUACAAGGAAAGAACCCACGCAAAAACAGGAAGAACAUGCAAACUCCACACAGAACCACGGUAGAGCUAAACUCAAGACCUUCUUCCUGUGCGGUAACGGUGCUAACCACUGUGCCGCCCGCAUAAGAGGAGAGCCACUGAGGGAACGCCUUCCGCCCUUCCGACGCCUCCACCGUGACUCCACUUCUGAGAGGAAUUGCCUACAGAUCAAGCAUGGAGUGUGCCUGAAUGGACAUACAGAACUCCAAGGUUCGGCCCGGUGUUGAGGGUUUUCCCAAAGGUGAGGGCCCGGCGGGCGGUGCCUCACAGCCCUCCGCCUCUGGGAGUGGCCCAUUUCUACUAAGGAGGCAAGAGGUGGCCAGGAGUCUGUCAGCGAGUUCUGCAUGUCCUGGUGACCCUCCACCUGUUUCACAGUGUCACAGGGGAACUCGAGCCUAUCCCAGCUAUCUUAGGGCGAGAAGCAGGGUACACCCUCCACAGGUCGUUGGACUGUGGCAGGAAGCCGGAGUACAAGGAAAGAACCCACGCAAAAACAGGAAGAACAUGCAAACUCCACACAGAACCACGGUAGAGCUAAACUCAAGACCUUCUUCCUGUGCGGUAACGGUGCUAACCACUGUGCCGCCCGCAUAAGAGGAGAGCCACUGAGGGAACGCCUUCCGCCCUUCCGACGCCUCCACCGUGACUCCACUUCUGAGAGGAAUUGCCUACAGAUCAAGCAUGGAGUGUGCCUGAAUGGACAUACAGAACUCCAAGGUUCGGCCCGGUGUUGAGGGUUUUCCCAAAGGUGAGGGCCCGGCGGGCGGUGCCUCACAGCCCUCCGCCUCUGGGAGUGGCCCAUUUCUACUAAGGAGGCAAGAGGUGGCCAGGAGUCUGUCAGCGAGUUCUGCAUGUCCUGGUGACCCUCCACCUGUUUCACAGUGUCACAGGGGAACUCGAGCCUAUCCCAGCUAUCUUAGGGCGAGAAGCAGGGUACACCCUCCACAGGUCGUUGGACUGUGGCAGGAAGCCGGAGUACAAGGAAAGAACCCACGCAAAAACAGGAAGAACAUGCAAACUCCACACAGAACCACGGUAGAGCUAAACUCAAGACCUUCUUCCUGUGCGGUAACGGUGCUAACCACUGUGCCGCCCGCAUAAGAGGAGAGCCACUGAGGGAACGCCUUCCGCCCUUCCGACGCCUCCACCGUGACUCCACUUCUGAGAGGAAUUGCCUACAGAUCAAGCAUGGAGUGUGCCUGAAUGGACAUACAGAACUCCAAGGUUCGGCCCGGUGUUGAGGGUUUUCCCAAAGGUGAGGGCCCGGCGGGCGGUGCCUCACAGCCCUCCGCCUCUGGGAGUGGCCCAUUUCUACUAAGGAGGCAAGAGGUGGCCAGGAGUCUGUCAGCGAGUUCUGCAUGUCCUGGUGACCCUCCACCUGUUUCACAGUGUCACAGGGGAACUCGAGCCUAUCCCAGCUAUCUUAGGGCGAGAAGCAGGGUACACCCUCCACAGGUCGUUGGACUGUGGCAGGAAGCCGGAGUACAAGGAAAGAACCCACGCAAAAACAGGAAGAACAUGCAAACUCCACACAGAACCACGGUAGAGCUGAACUCAAGACCUUCUUCCUGUGCGGUAACGGUGCUAACCACUGUGCCGCCCGCAUAAGAGGAGAGCCACUGAGGGAACGCCUUCCGCCCUUCCGACGCCUCCACCGUGACUCCACUUCUGAGAGGAAUUGCCUACAGAUCAAGCAUGGAGUGUGCCUGAAUGGACAUACAGAACUCCAAGGUUCGGCCCGGUGUUGAGGGUUUUCCCAAAGGUGAGGGCCCGGCGGGCGGUGCCUCACAGCCCUCCGCCUCUGGGAGUGGCCCAUUUCUACUAAGGAGGCAAGAGGUGGCCAGGAGUCUGUCAGCGAGUUCUGCAUGUCCUGGUGACCCUCCACCUGUUUCACAGGUCGUUGGACUGUGGCAGGAAGCCGGAGUACAAGGAAAGAACCCACGCAAAAACAGGAAGAACAUGCAAACUCCACACAGAACCACGAAGAGGAGAGCCACUGAGGGAACGCCUUCCGCCCUUCCGACGCCUCCACCGUGACUCCACUUCUGAGAGGAAUUGCCUACAGAUCAAGCAUGGAGUGUGCCUGAAUGGACAUACAGAACUCCAAGGUUCGGCCCGGUGUUGAGGGUUUUCCCAAAGGUGAGGGCCCGGCGGGCGGUGCCUCACAGCCCUCCGCCUCUGGGAGUGGCCCAUUUCUACUAAGGAGGCAAGAGGUGGCCAGGAGUCUGUCAGCGAGUUCUGCAUGUCCUGGUGACCCUCCACCUGUUUCACAGUGUCACAGGGGAACUCGAGCCUAUCCCAGCUAUCUUAGGGCGAGAAGCAGGGUACACCCUCCACAGGUCGUUGGACUGUGGCAGGAAGCCGGAGUACAAGGAAAGAACCCACGCAAAAACAGGAAGAACAUGCAAACUCCACACAGAACCACGGUAGAGCUAAACUCAAGACCUUCUUCCUGUGCGGUAACGGUGCUAACCACUGUGCCGCCCGCAUAAGAGGAGAGCCACUGAGGGAACGCCUUCCGCCCUUCCGACGCCUCCACCGUGACUCCACUUCUGAGAGGAAUUGCCUACAGAUCAAGCAUGGAGUGUGCCUGAAUGGACAUACAGAACUCCAAGGUUCGGCCCGGUGUUGAGGGUUUUCCCAAAGGUGAGGGCCCGGCGGGCGGUGCCUCACAGCCCUCCGCCUCUGGGAGUGGCCCAUUUCUACUAAGGAGGCAAGAGGUGGCCAGGAGUCUGUCAGCGAGUUCUGCAUGUCCUGGUGACCCUCCACCUGUUUCACAGUGUCACAGGGGAACUCGAGCCUAUCCCAGCUAUCUUAGGGCGAGAAGCAGGGUACACCCUCCACAGGUCGUUGGACUGUGGCAGGAAGCCGGAGUACAAGGAAAGAACCCACGCAAAAACAGGAAGAACAUGCAAACUCCACACAGAACCACGGUAGAGCUGAACUCAAGACCUUCUUCCUGUGCGGUAACGGUGCUAACCACUGUGCCGCCCGCAUAAGAGGAGAGCCACUGAGGGAACGCCUUCCGCCCUUCCGACGCCUCCACCGUGACUCCACUUCUGAGAGGAAUUGCCUACAGAUCAAGCAUGGAGUGUGCCUGAAUGGACAUACAGAACUCCAAGGUUCGGCCCGGUGUUGAGGGUUUUCCCAAAGGUGAGGGCCCGGCGGGCGGUGCCUCACAGCCCUCCGCCUCUGGGAGUGGCCCAUUUCUACUAAGGAGGCAAGAGGUGGCCAGGAGUCUGUCAGCGAGUUCUGCAUGUCCUGGUGACCCUCCACCUGUUUCACAGGUCGUUGGACUGUGGCAGGAAGCCGGAGUACAAGGAAAGAACCCACGCAAAAACAGGAAGAACAUGCAAACUCCACACAGAACCACGAAGAGGAGAGCCACUGAGGGAACGCCUUCCGCCCUUCCGACGCCUCCACCGUGACUCCACUUCUGAGAGGAAUUGCCUACAGAUCAAGCAUGGAGUGUGCCUGAAUGGACAUACAGAACUCCAAGGUUCGGCCCGGUGUUGAGGGUUUUCCCAAAGGUGAGGGCCCGGCGGGCGGUGCCUCACAGCCCUCCGCCUCUGGGAGUGGCCCAUUUCUACUAAGGAGGCAAGAGGUGGCCAGGAGUCUGUCAGCGAGUUCUGCAUGUCCUGGUGACCCUCCACCUGUUUCACAGUGUCACAGGGGAACUCGAGCCUAUCCCAGCUAUCUUAGGGCGAGAAGCAGGGUACACCCUCCACAGGUCGUUGGACUGUGGCAGGAAGCCGGAGUACAAGGAAAGAACCCACGCAAAAACAGGAAGAACAUGCAAACUCCACACAGAACCACGGUAGAGCUAAACUCAAGACCUUCUUCCUGUGCGGUAACGGUGCUAACCACUGUGCCGCCCGCAUAAGAGGAGAGCCACUGAGGGAACGCCUUCCGCCCUUCCGACGCCUCCACCGUGACUCCACUUCUGAGAGGAAUUGCCUACAGAUCAAGCAUGGAGUGUGCCUGAAUGGACAUACAGAACUCCAAGGUUCGGCCCGGUGUUGAGGGUUUUCCCAAAGGUGAGGGCCCGGCGGGCGGUGCCUCACAGCCCUCCGCCUCUGGGAGUGGCCCAUUUCUACUAAGGAGGCAAGAGGUGGCCAGGAGUCUGUCAGCGAGUUCUGCAUGUCCUGGUGACCCUCCACCUGUUUCACAGUGUCACAGGGGAACUCGAGCCUAUCCCAGCUAUCUUAGGGCGAGAAGCAGGGUACACCCUCCACAGGUCGUUGGACUGUGGCAGGAAGCCGGAGUACAAGGAAAGAACCCACGCAAAAACAGGAAGAACAUGCAAACUCCACACAGAACCACGGUAGAGCUAAACUCAAGACCUUCUUCCUGUGCGGUAACGGUGCUAACCACUGUGCCGCCCGCAUAAGAGGAGAGCCACUGAGGGAACGCCUUCCGCCCUUCCGACGCCUCCACCGUGACUCCACUUCUGAGAGGAAUUGCCUACAGAUCAAGCAUGGAGUGUGCCUGAAUGGACAUACAGAACUCCAAGGUUCGGCCCGGUGUUGAGGGUUUUCCCAAAGGUGAGGGCCCGGCGGGCGGUGCCUCACAGCCCUCCGCCUCUGGGAGUGGCCCAUUUCUACUAAGGAGGCAAGAGGUGGCCAGGAGUCUGUCAGCGAGUUCUGCAUGUCCUGGUGACCCUCCACCUGUUUCACAGGUCGUUGGACUGUGGCAGGAAGCCGGAGUACAAGGAAAGAACCCACGCAAAAACAGGAAGAACAUGCAAACUCCACACAGAACCACGAAGAGGAGAGCCACUGAGGGAACGCCUUCCGCCCUUCCGACGCCUCCACCGUGACUCCACUUCUGAGAGGAAUUGCCUACAGAUCAAGCAUGGAGUGUGCCUGAAUGGACAUACAGAACUCCAAGGUUCGGCCCGGUGUUGAGGGUUUUCCCAAAGGUGAGGGCCCGGCGGGCGGUGCCUCACAGCCCUCCGCCUCUGGGAGUGGCCCAUUUCUACUAAGGAGGCAAGAGGUGGCCAGGAGUCUGUCAGCGAGUUCUGCAUGUCCUGGUGACCCUCCACCUGUUUCACAGUGUCACAGGGGAACUCGAGCCUAUCCCAGCUAUCUUAGGGCGAGAAGCAGGGUACACCCUCCACAGGUCGUUGGACUGUGGCAGGAAGCCGGAGUACAAGGAAAGAACCCACGCAAAAACAGGAAGAACAUGCAAACUCCACACAGAACCACGGUAGAGCUAAACUCAAGACCUUCUUCCUGUGCGGUAACGGUGCUAACCACUGUGCCGCCCGCAUAAGAGGAGAGCCACUGAGGGAACGCCUUCCGCCCUUCCGACGCCUCCACCGUGACUCCACUUCUGAGAGGAAUUGCCUACAGAUCAAGCAUGGAGUGUGCCUGAAUGGACAUACAGAACUCCAAGGUUCGGCCCGGUGUUGAGGGUUUUCCCAAAGGUGAGGGCCCGGCGGGCGGUGCCUCACAGCCCUCCGCCUCUGGGAGUGGCCCAUUUCUACUAAGGAGGCAAGAGGUGGCCAGGAGUCUGUCAGCGAGUUCUGCAUGUCCUGGUGACCCUCCACCUGUUUCACAGUGUCACAGGGGAACUCGAGCCUAUCCCAGCUAUCUUAGGGCGAGAAGCAGGGUACACCCUCCACAGGUCGUUGGACUGUGGCAGGAAGCCGGAGUACAAGGAAAGAACCCACGCAAAAACAGGAAGAACAUGCAAACUCCACACAGAACCACGGUAGAGCUAAACUCAAGACCUUCUUCCUGUGCGGUAACGGUGCUAACCACUGUGCCGCCCGCAUAAGAGGAGAGCCACUGAGGGAACGCCUUCCGCCCUUCCGACGCCUCCACCGUGACUCCACUUCUGAGAGGAAUUGCCUACAGAUCAAGCAUGGAGUGUGCCUGAAUGGACAUACAGAACUCCAAGGUUCGGCCCGGUGUUGAGGGUUUUCCCAAAGGUGAGGGCCCGGCGGGCGGUGCCUCACAGCCCUCCGCCUCUGGGAGUGGCCCAUUUCUACUAAGGAGGCAAGAGGUGGCCAGGAGUCUGUCAGCGAGUUCUGCAUGUCCUGGUGACCCUCCACCUGUUUCACAGUGUCACAGGGGAACUCGAGCCUAUCCCAGCUAUCUUAGGGCGAGAAGCAGGGUACACCCUCCACAGGUCGUUGGACUGUGGCAGGAAGCCGGAGUACAAGGAAAGAACCCACGCAAAAACAGGAAGAACAUGCAAACUCCACACAGAACCACGGUAGAGCUAAACUCAAGACCUUCUUCCUGUGCGGUAACGGUGCUAACCACUGUGCCGCCCGCAUAAGAGGAGAGCCACUGAGGGAACGCCUUCCGCCCUUCCGACGCCUCCACCGUGACUCCACUUCUGAGAGGAAUUGCCUACAGAUCAAGCAUGGAGUGUGCCUGAAUGGACAUACAGAACUCCAAGGUUCGGCCCGGUGUUGAGGGUUUUCCCAAAGGUGAGGGCCCGGCGGGCGGUGCCUCACAGCCCUCCGCCUCUGGGAGUGGCCCAUUUCUACUAAGGAGGCAAGAGGUGGCCAGGAGUCUGUCAGCGAGUUCUGCAUGUCCUGGUGACCCUCCACCUGUUUCACAGUGUCACAGGGGAACUCGAGCCUAUCCCAGCUAUCUUAGGGCGAGAAGCAGGGUACACCCUCCACAGGUCGUUGGACUGUGGCAGGAAGCCGGAGUACAAGGAAAGAACCCACGCAAAAACAGGAAGAACAUGCAAACUCCACACAGAACCACGGUAGAGCUGAACUCAAGACCUUCUUCCUGUGCGGUAACGGUGCUAACCACUGUGCCGCCCGCAUAAGAGGAGAGCCACUGAGGGAACGCCUUCCGCCCUUCCGACGCCUCCACCGUGACUCCACUUCUGAGAGGAAUUGCCUACAGAUCAAGCAUGGAGUGUGCCUGAAUGGACAUACAGAACUCCAAGGUUCGGCCCGGUGUUGAGGGUUUUCCCAAAGGUGAGGGCCCGGCGGGCGGUGCCUCACAGCCCUCCGCCUCUGGGAGUGGCCCAUUUCUACUAAGGAGGCAAGAGGUGGCCAGGAGUCUGUCAGCGAGUUCUGCAUGUCCUGGUGACCCUCCACCUGUUUCACAGGUCGUUGGACUGUGGCAGGAAGCCGGAGUACAAGGAAAGAACCCACGCAAAAACAGGAAGAACAUGCAAACUCCACACAGAACCACGAAGAGGAGAGCCACUGAGGGAACGCCUUCCGCCCUUCCGACGCCUCCACCGUGACUCCACUUCUGAGAGGAAUUGCCUACAGAUCAAGCAUGGAGUGUGCCUGAAUGGACAUACAGAACUCCAAGGUUCGGCCCGGUGUUGAGGGUUUUCCCAAAGGUGAGGGCCCGGCGGGCGGUGCCUCACAGCCCUCCGCCUCUGGGAGUGGCCCAUUUCUACUAAGGAGGCAAGAGGUGGCCAGGAGUCUGUCAGCGAGUUCUGCAUGUCCUGGUGACCCUCCACCUGUUUCACAGUGUCACAGGGGAACUCGAGCCUAUCCCAGCUAUCUUAGGGCGAGAAGCAGGGUACACCCUCCACAGGUCGUUGGACUGUGGCAGGAAGCCGGAGUACAAGGAAAGAACCCACGCAAAAACAGGAAGAACAUGCAAACUCCACACAGAACCACGGUAGAGCUGAACUCAAGACCUUCUUCCUGUGCGGUAACGGUGCUAACCACUGUGCCGCCCGCAUAAGAGGAGAGCCACUGAGGGAACGCCUUCCGCCCUUCCGACGCCUCCACCGUGACUCCACUUCUGAGAGGAAUUGCCUACAGAUCAAGCAUGGAGUGUGCCUGAAUGGACAUACAGAACUCCAAGGUUCGGCCCGGUGUUGAGGGUUUUCCCAAAGGUGAGGGCCCGGCGGGCGGUGCCUCACAGCCCUCCGCCUCUGGGAGUGGCCCAUUUCUACUAAGGAGGCAAGAGGUGGCCAGGAGUCUGUCAGCGAGUUCUGCAUGUCCUGGUGACCCUCCACCUGUUUCACAGGUCGUUGGACUGUGGCAGGAAGCCGGAGUACAAGGAAAGAACCCACGCAAAAACAGGAAGAACAUGCAAACUCCACACAGAACCACGAAGAGGAGAGCCACUGAGGGAACGCCUUCCGCCCUUCCGACGCCUCCACCGUGACUCCACUUCUGAGAGGAAUUGCCUACAGAUCAAGCAUGGAGUGUGCCUGAAUGGACAUACAGAACUCCAAGGUUCGGCCCGGUGU